UAAAAAUUAGGUUGGAAGAUAUCACGGAUAUCUAAUUGAACUAAUUAUAUCAAAUGAGAAACUUUGUACUUAUCUAACCUUACCAUUAGUGGAUAUCAAUACUCCUUACGUGGAUAUAAAUAAAUUGAAUAAAAGAUAGUUAGAAGUAAGUAUUAAUCUCUAUAGAGCUAUCAUUUGAUUUUUUAUCACUAAACUUUUGUGUGCAAGUGUAGAAAAAAGUUCCUAAUCAUUUAUAGGGACAAAAUAAAAUGUCAACGUUCUUAGUGCUAUUUUUUAAAUAUCACAACUUAUGGAUAAAAGUGGAAGAUAGAAAAUGAUACUAAUCUA
rnacentral:lncRNA from 1 species